CCUACGGGUGGCAGCAGUGAGGAAUAUUGGUCAAUGGGCGCGAGCCUGAACCAGCCAAGUCGCGUGAGGGAAGACGGUCCUAUGGAUUGUAAACCUCUUUUGUCGGGGAGCAAAAGACGCCACGCGUGGCGUUCCGAGAGUACCUGAAGAAAAAGCAUCGGCUAACUCCGUGCCAGCAGCCGCGGUAAUACGGAGGAUGCGAGCGUUAUCCGGAUUUAUUGGGUUUAAAGGGUGCGCAGGCGGAAGAUCAAGUCAGCGGUAAAAUUGAGGGGCUCAACCUCUUCGAGCCGUUGAAACUGGUUGUCUUGAGAGGGCGAGAGGUAUGCGGAAUGCGUGGUGUAGCGGUGAAAUGCAUAGAUAUCGCGCAGAACUCCGAUUGCGAAGGCAGCAUACCGGCGCUCAACUGACGCUCAUGCACGAAAGUGUGGGUAUCGAACAGGAUUAGAUACCCGAGUAGUC
rnacentral:rRNA from 1 species